AGCAACGCUUACGCUCGUCCGUGGUGGCUGGGCUGGCUCCUGUCACCAAAGAUCUCGUACUGAUAAGUUGCUCCUCUCAAGUGGAUAUCAUCGGUGUGGAUACGCAGGGGAACGUUGCGAAAUGCGUUAUCGACAUGGGGGCUCUGGGAGGUAAUGUAUUUGAAAGUGGAUCAGUGUCUUGUGCUUCUGUGACGGCCAUUGUAUGCAACUUAGGUUUUUAAUUCUCUCCCUAUAAGCUCUUCAUUACGCUGUCUUCGUUAGUACAGCUUCUUUCUUUGGAUGGUAGGCAAGAGGACGUCUCAGCUGUCACGCACGUUGGACGGUCCCCCGGAGAACUUCAGAACUUAAGGGCAACGAGGGAAACGACGGACACCAUCGAGAUCAAGUACGAUCCCUGGACGACCAACCCCCAGAGUACGACAUCUAGCAGAUAAAACUCGACAGCUAUCGACGCGCACCACAUCCCAAGUUCCUGCACGAGAGCAUCUUCUCCGACAGAGAGGCGCGUACGAACUACGUGUGAGUGCGUGUGAGAGCCGUGUCAACCGAUAAGCAGGCUAGUUCAUGGGUGUCGACCAACGCUUCGACCUCGGAAGACGUCCCUAGCGAACCACAGAGCUUCGACGUGCUUGAAACGACCGCCUCGGCCGUGACUCUGCGUGAGUCAGUAUGCUCCUGACGGGUCCUCAUACUCCAAGACGGUGACGCCCUUGGACUUCCAGGUAGAGGAGGGCGUGACCGGCCUAACCACUUCAACGUCACCGGCUGUAUUCAACGCUAUCACCGUUGGCUGCCUAUAUCCUGACGGUGGAGGCCGUUGUGGGAGUCAAUAAAGUAAUUUCUAUAUAUCACUGAAGAAAAGAACGCCGAUUUAAACGCGCAUGCUGAUGUGUUGCAUCUUAUUUUUUCUGGGUCUUUUUUAUUUAAUUCUCCAUGCUUUGCGAAAGCGUUAUUACGUAACAUUAAUGUUUACUUUGUAUCAUUCACCAUUAAUAUGAAAUAUGCAUAUUUUCCGGCAAAGCCAUUCUGCAUAUGUAUUAUUGUAUUAUGGGUAUUAUCAGGGUGAAAUAUAUCUUUACUUAUUGAUAUAGAAAUGCUUAAAGAUAUAGAAAUGAAACACAUCUUUAAUCUA